UUCAUUGCAGGUGAGUUAUGGAGGUGUGCUUAGGCGCUUCAGGGUGCCUUUCAAAGCUAAUGGACAGCUUGAUCUUGACAUGGCUUCUCUUAGGGGAAAGAUUGCUGCUUUGUUUAACCUCCCUCUGGAUGCUGAGUUCUCUCUCACUUACUCUGAUGAAGAUGGGGAUGUGGUGGCCCUUGUUGAUGACAACGACCUCUUCGAUGUCACGAAUCAGCGUCUUAAGUUCUUGAAGAUUACUGUGCAGUCGAACGCUGGUGUGCCGACCAACUCUGUUGCUCCAGAGAGCAGUGGGAGUUCGUCAGCCUCGGUUAUGCCUGAUAGCCAGGACCCGGUUUCUAAGAUCCAGAAGGGUUUCAAUGAUGUUAUGAUGGCUGUGCCGAACCACAUGCGUGAUACCAUUUCCAAGGUGUAUAUUGACCUUACAUCUAAGGCGGCGUCUUCGAGCCCUGUGGUUGGUGAGCUGUUUGAUUGCAUCAACAAGCUAGGGAAGCUCUCAAGCCCUCAGGAAAGUAGUCCUUGCUCUCCUGUUACUAAGCCUGGCUCGUCAGGGCCUUCUUUGAGCAGGGAGGUUCCUUCCGCUGGUGAAAAGAAGGAUGUAUCUAAGAAGACCCAAGCUGGAAAAAAACCUGUUGCUGAUUCAACCUCCUCUGGACUUGGUGCUAGUUUCAACGAGUGUCCCUUCAGUGGCAGUACCGUGAUUGAUUCCACUCCAAAUCCAAAUCCAACGAAUCUCAACAGGCAUGCCCGUCGUGUAUGUCACUCCAAAAAGACCAACAAUGGUGAUUACUGGAACUCACUGGGUGUCUUCCAUAAGGGUAUCCGUUGUGAUGGAUGUGGAGUUCUUCCAAUAACUGGGCCUAGAUUCAAGUCUAAAGUGUAAGGAGAUCUCUUACUUGCAAAUGUAGAAACUGCAGAUACAUCUUUCGAGUUUAUUAUGCUUACUUGUUUCUCUGGUGAAUAUUUUGCAGCAAAGAAGACUAUGAUCUUUGCACCAUCUGUUUUUCCGUGAUGGGCAAUGAAGGGGAUUAUACAAGAAUGGAUAAGCCCGUCUCAGCUCAACAGCUACAUCCCUUCAGAGGACUUCCUACCCCAGUAUUACUCUUUUUCUGUGUUUAAGUUUCCUUUUCUUCUAUACCUUUUCUUUCUGUAUUUACAGCUAUAUGGAGAUCUUACGUUUCUUCCUUUCUUUCAUAUAGUUUUCAAAUCCUUGGUUGGGACAUGUGCCGCGACCACACCACGGAGGUUUACAUUUCAGGUGUACUCGGCCUAAGCUAGACAGUCGCUUUGUCCUUGAUGUCAAUGUACUUGAUGGAACCGUUGUUGCUCCAUCUGCCCCAUUCACCAAGAUCUGGAAAAUGAGGAACAAUGGUUCGCUGGUGUGGCCACAUGGCACGCAGAUCGUUUGGAUCGGUGGGGACAGAUUCAGCAGCUCUUUGUCAGUUGAUUUACAGGUUAGAAACUAUAUCCUUAGUUUUGCCAUUUAUUUUGCUUGAUACCUACCCUGAAGUUCCACUUACAGAUCAAUCAUGAUGUUUGAAGUUGCUCUUAGUGGCUUGAGUUAGCUUCUUCUCUACAGAAAGUGGCAAUAGUUUCUUUAUAUAUAUAUACAACACUAAUUUUUUAUUGGUGUCAGCAGAUUCCAGUGGAGGGUGUGCCUAUCAACAGUGAGCUUGACGUGAAAGUUGAAUUUGUUGCACCAGAGUCACCUGGCCGAUACAUAUCUUAUUGGAGGAUGGCUUCCUCUAAUGGUGCCAAGUUUGGGCAACGUGUUUGGGUGUUGAUACAUGUACUGGCUAGAUCUCUGCUGCCAUUUUCCUGGAAUUUUGUUUUUCUCAAUCAUCUGAUUUUUUUUUUUUUGCUGGUUGCGUGGUCAGGUUGAUGCAUCCUUGAAGGGCUCUGUUGUGAACGAGUUUCAUGGACUGAACUUGAAUGCCUCUCCUGAAGAAAAUUUCGCAAGAGAAUUUUCAGGGAUCAAUGUGAAUCAUGUUCCAGCUCAGCCUGGUAGCCCCAGUGUUAACCCUGGGAUAGUGAAAGGUGCUGAUGUUGAACCAGAAGCUUCUUCGGGAUCAAACAUUCCGAUGAAAGAUGACCUGGUGGUUGGUGAAGUUGAGCCUGUUGUUCCUAACACUGUUGUGCCUAACACUCUUACUCCAUCUUCAUCUUCGUCAUCAUUCAACAUAAUCGAGUUCCCAAAUAUGCCUACUACUGUUGAGGCCUUGGGUGGCGGUUCCUCAUCUGCAAAGAACAUCCCCGUUCCUCUACAAGAGGAUAUUGAGAAGAAUGACGUCGAGAUAACCAUGCUCAAGGAGCUGGAGGAGAUGGGUUUCAAAGAGAUUGAUCUGAACAAGGAAAUCCUGAGGGACAACGAGUACAACUUGGAGCAGUCUGUUGACGCUCUCUGUGGAGUUAAAGAGUGGGAUCCUAUCCUAGAGGAGCUUCAGGAAAUGGUAAGUGUGAAUUGAAGAUUGGAAAACCAGAUUGAGAGGGAUGUUUGACAAUGUGAUAAUUUCUGCAGGGGUUCUGUGAUGAUCUGACGAACAAGAGGCUGCUGAAGAAGAACAAUGGAAGCAUUAAAGGCGUGGUGAUGGAUCUUCUCACUGGGGAGAAGGAGAAGGAGGCUUAGUGUGGCGUUCGAUUCUGGGAGAACUUUUAUCUAUAUCAGGACAAAGGUUAUGUUUUAUAAAUAAUAAAAACCUGAUGAUGAUGUAGUGUGGUUUCGAACUUUGGUGUGUUCCUUUGCUUCUUUCUUUCGUGUUGGAUGUGGAUGAUAUGAUGUUACUACUAAUCUUAAAUAAGUAUAAGACUUUAUUUAUGCUAUCAUCAAUCUUCUUAUUUUGAAUGCAACCGUGUCUUUGUUAUCGAUUUCAUUCACUUGACCGCCCUCUCCUCCAUGUCCAGUUGAUUACAUUUUUGCUUUUGAUUCUUACAUGCAAUUUAUAUUAUUCCUGAACGUAGUGAUUCAUUCACCUGCACGACUUUAUCUUUAUGAAAAAACUGCUGGCAACCAAAUGAGUAAAUUGAAGAUAAUCAAUAUGGAAUUCACUUUCUUUUCUACGUUUACAAGUUUGAAGGAGUAAGUAAUUGCAUCUUGACUUUGUUUAAAAUCUCCUGGACGAACGAUUAAACAAACUCCUAAGGCUAUUUCUGCUGUCCCUAUUUUUCUUCUUGAUGGCCUUAUCCGCAGAGAAAGUAUGCUCUUCCAAAGUGAGUGCCCGUUCCAGUUUCUUAGAUACAGAAAGAAUCUCGUACGGAUCCCACAAGGACUGUCCAUACUCCCAAUCCAAGAACGAAGGAUGAUGAUGGUGAUGCUUCUUUGUACUGGACAAGGCCUCCAUUUUGAAACGUGAAGGUUUACCUUUGACAAAAGCAUGCUUUCUCCGCGCUUCGAACUCCAAAACUGUGCUUUUAGAGGUUUGGGAGUGGCUGAGCCAAGCCUGUGCUGCUGCUUUCAUCAGCUCCACUCUCUUCUUCUCUUCUUCGUUUUCAUCUUUAGCCUCUCGUUUCUUCCUCAUCUGUUUCCUUCUCCAUUUGGGAGGGGACUUUUGGGGCUCUAAGCUAUUAUUAUGGACCCAAUUUUAUGUCAGCUUUAAAUGGCAGCCUUAUGUUUCUUGUCCGAAUCUGCUAACUUCUGUCCGUCUCAUCCUUUUCCAUUUAUUUCUUUUUAAUUUUUUCAAUACAUUUGUUGUAUAAUAAAAGGUGGGAGAUGACUUAGAAUGUAAUAAAAAGAUGAAAAGUAUUUUAGAGUGAAAAUAACUCAGGGAAAAAUGCCAAUUUCGAUCCCAACUAUUUCAGUCGUGCCAAAUACGACCCGAACAAUUGAUCAGUGCCAAAUACGACAUCAACUCAAUUAUAAUUCAAAAAAACUACCAGAACUUCUUAAAACGUGCCUAAAUCUACAUUGACUCUAACAGAAGUUAGUCAACCGUUAAAAAAUAAAACGAUGUCGUUUUGAUAUACGAGGAAAAGUGUCAAUUUCGACCCAAACACUCUCAGUCGUGCCAAAUAAGACCCGAACAAAUGGUCAGUGCCAAAAACGACCUCAACUCAAUUAUAUUUUAAGAAAAAUUACCCAAUUUUUUUAAAACGUGUUUAAAUCUACAUUAACUCUAACAGAAGUUAAUCAACCUUUAACAAAGAUAAGACGACGUUGUUUUGAUAUAUGUAUUUUCUUAAAAAAAUAUGUUCAUUUUGGGAUUCAAAUCCGUGCUGGGAUAUCCUUUUAAAGGGGCACACUAACAACUAGACUAAAAUAAUUUUUUGAAAUAUUAUUACAAAUUGAAAUUCUCCAUUAUAUAAACUACUAUUCUUCUUCAUCUUAUCCAAUUUAAAACUUUGGUGAUUGCUUUAUACAUUUUAGUUAUUGUUUAAUUUGUCUAAUAUUUUGUACAACAUAUCUUAGUGAAAGAAAGGUAAAAGGCCUCUUAACAUUUUUGAACAAAAUAUCAAAAUAUAUAAUAUCAACUUUGAAAACUAAAAAAAUUCCCACUUAAUUUUAAAAAUUAAAAAUAAUUUAUAUAAGAAAAUUGUAUAAAUAAAUUCAAAGUUGUAAGCAUAUUUAAGAUCGUAUAAUAAUAAAUAUUUUAUUAUUUAUAUUUUAGUAAGAUAUAAUUUUAUUAAAGAUAUGAUAAAUAAGAAAAACACGUUAAUGUAUUUAUAUAAAUCAGAAAAAAUUGUCACCAAAAUUUUAAAUUGGAUAAGAUGAAGAAUAAUAAUAGUUUAUAUAAUUUCAAAUUUGUAAUAGUAUUUUAUCUAUUAUCUUCUAGAAGCACAAACCCUAAGAAAUAUUUAAAAAAUGUAUUUAUUUUACCCAAAUUCAUAUUUUUUCUCCCAUAUGGUGCUUAAUCGUGAUCCCUAAUCUUGUUUUGUUCUUUUAAUUUGUUUAUUUGCAUGUUGUUUGAUUCAUUUUAAGUGAGCUUUGUGUUCAUUGCAGGUGAGUUAUGGAGGUGUGCUUAGGCGCUUCAGGGUGCCUUUCAAAGCUAAUGGACAGCUUGAUCUUGACAUGGCUUCUCUUAGGGGAAAGAUUGCUGCUUUGUUUAACCUCCCUCUGGAUGCUGAGUUCUCUCUCACUUACUCUGAUGAAGAUGGGGAUGUGGUGGCCCUUGUUGAUGACAACGACCUCUUCGAUGUCACGAAUCAGCGUCUUAAGUUCUUGAAGAUUACUGUGCAGUCGAACGCUGGUGUGCCGACCAACUCUGUUGCUCCAGAGAGCAGUGGGAGUUCGUCAGCCUCGGUUAUGCCUGAUAGCCAGGACCCGGUUUCUAA
rnacentral:lncRNA from 1 species